GACGAACGCUGGCGGCGUGCCUAAUACAUGCAAGUCGAACGCACAGUUUAUACCUUAGCUUGCUACACCAUAGACUGUGAGUUGCGAACGGGUGAGUAACGCGUAGGUAACCUGCCUGGUAGCGGGGGAUAACUAUUGGAAACGAUAGCUAAUACCGCAUAAUAUUGAUUAUUGCAUGAUAAUUGAUUGAAAGAUGCUAUUGCAUCACUACCAGAUGGACCUGCGUUGUAUUAGCUAGUAGGUGAGGUAACGGCUCACCUAGGCGACGAUACAUAGCCGACCUGAGAGGGUGAUCGGCCACACUGGGACUGAGACACGGCCCAGACUCCUACGGGAGGCAGCAGUAGGGAAUCUUCGGCAAUGGACGAAAGUCUGACCGAGCAACGCCGCGGGAGUGAAGGAGGUUUUCGGAUCGGAAAGCUCUGUUGUAAGAGAAGAACGGGUGUGAGAGUGGAAAGUUCACACUGUGACGGUAUCUUACCAGAAAGGGACGGCUAACUACGUG
rnacentral:rRNA from 1 species